rnacentral:rRNA from 1 species
UAGCCGUAAACGAUACUCGCUAGGUGUCGGCCACGGUGCGACCGUUGUCGGUGCCGUAGGGAAGCCGUGAAGCGAGCCACCUGGGAAGUACGGCCGCAAGGCUGAAGCUUAAAGGAAUUGGCGGGGGAGCACAACAACGGGUGGAGCUUGCGGUUUAAUUUGGACUCAACGCCGGAAACUCAUCGGGAGCGACAGCAGUAUGAUUGCCAGGUUGAUGACCUUGCUUGACAAGCUGAGAGGAGGUGCAUGGCGUAGUCGUGU